rnacentral:lncRNA from 1 species
AAUCUCCCUUUCAUCUUAUGAUUAUAUACAUCCUAUGCACACACACACACACACACACUCAUUUAUAUAUGUAUUAUAUCAUUUUUAUUGACUCUAAGAUGCAUAAUUUUCAAGAUUAUCGACUUUCUGACAUCAUAAUACUUUUCAUAAUAGCUGAAGUCUUACAAUUGCUGGUGGGUAGGCAGGAAUAAUAACGUAGUUGUCAUUGUCUGUCAUUUGACUUGUAUUUGCCCCUUUGCAUAUACAUCAAGGUGCUAUAAAUAUUUAAUAAAAUUCUAUGUUUUAAGACUAUGUCAUAUUACAGUUUAGUUGGCAAGGUUUUUUUUUUCUUCCUUAUUAAUACACAAGAUAAUGGUGACUUAUCAAUUCAUCAGUGGCAUUGGAUCCAAUAAUAUACACAAUAAAUGCAUAGACACAUUUGACUUUGAAUUCAUUUCCAAGCAUAUUUCCCCCCCAACUCAAUUUCAUUUAAAAGUGAUUUGUACUCAUUCUUUCCAUUUCCUCCUUGCCCAUUCACUGUUCAAUGUAUUGUCUGCCUUCUGUUGCCACCACUGGAUAAAACUCUUUGGGAAAAUGUAAGCAAUGACUUGAAUAUUUAGUUCUCACCUUUUGAAUCCUUCCUGCUUUUCAAACUUUUGACUAUUCUUUUCUUCUUGAAAUUAUUUUCUCCCUUAGGCUUUUAGCACAUUCCUUAAUCUUACCCAAUAUUUAUUACCAUUAUUGCUCAAUCUUGUACAAUGCAAUUUCUUCUCUAGGCCACUUAAGUCUUGCUAUUCCUUAGUCUUGUUUUCAGUAUUCUUCUCAUCCAAUUCUGCUAACUUCCUCUUAAUUUUAUUUAACAAUAUACUUUCAAACAUCACUGUUUGCUAAUAACUCCCAAAUCAAUACAGUUUUCCCAGACAUCUCUCUUGAUAAUCAAAGUGUACAUAUCCAAAAUUUUGUCAUAUAUGUUCCUCCGACAAUCACAAAUUCAUAUCAAACUCCAAAUAGGUAACUAUAAUCAUUUAAAAGGAUUCUACUAGGAAAUAUACUUUGAUCUGCACAUUCAAAUAUUAUGUCCUCCCGGCUUUUAUACUUUUAUCUAUAUCAUAAUCUACGUUUUUUUCUCACACCAAUAUCCAGGCUCUGACAGACAGUUCUUGCUUGGAGUCCUUAAUACAGAUGCCAUCAGAUAGUGUUAGGCUAGAGUCAACUGAAGUCUUAACUGGUCUGUUCACCCCACGCAGAUUACUCGCAUGGCUAGGAGACUGGAAGAUCAGAGGUCAGCUCGCACUGUCAACCAGGUCACCUACACCACACUUCUGCAUACGGCUCGGGUUUCUUACAGCAUGAUGGCUGAGUUCAGAAGGUGAGCAACUCAUCUACAAAUGUUCCAAGACAGGUUAUGGAAGCUGCCAGGCCAGUUAAGGAUACACCUAAAGUAAGCAAAGCAUCCUUCUCCAUGUAACCUGUCGGUCAAGGCAAUCACAGGACCCUUCCAAGGUUGAAAACAAGGAGAAAUAAACUCCAUCUCCUGAUGGAGAAGGGGCAAUAUCACUUCACAGAACAGUGUGAUGGGAGAUACUGCAACGGCAACAUUUAGAAAAUAAAAUCGGCCACAAUAUUUACAAUUAAUUGAAGACUUUAGGAAAACUUGUUAAUGUCCUACAUGGGCUAUUGACCCUGGGACAGAGGCAAAGAAAGAGAAAGAUAAAAUGGCAAGGAGGAACUGGAUGUCAAAUAAGACUAGAAGUGAAAAGCAGGUCAAAAUAUACAAAACCUGAGAAGCACUAUUAAGGAUCUUGCUCUUACCAAAAAUUAAUGGGAUCUCUUUUAAGAGUUUUAAUCAAGUU